rnacentral:rRNA from 1 species
AACGAACGCUGGCGGCAUGCCUAAUACAUGCAAGUCGAACGAGAAAGUCCGCAAGGAUGAGUACAGUGGCGCACGGGUGAGUAACACGUAGGUGACCUGCCUUGAAGUUGGGGAUAACAGAGAGAAGUCUCUGCUAAUACCGGGUAAGCUGGACGAAUUUGGAAUUAGUCCAGGAAAGAUGGCCUCUUUACAAUGCCAUUGCUUCAAGAAGUGCCCGGGUACCAUUAGCUAGUUGGUGGGGUAAAGGCCUACCAAGGCGAUGAUGGUUAGCUGGUCUGAGAGGAUGAACAGCCACACUGGAACUGAGACACGGUCCAGACUCCUACGGGAGGCAGCAGUAGGGAAUAUUGCGCAAUGGGGGAAACCCUGACGCAGCAAUGCCGCGUGAGUGAGGAAGGCCUUCGGGUUGUAAAGCUCUGUCCUCAGGGAAAAAUGAAUUUGUAUCUAAUAGGUGCAGAUUUUGAUGGUACCUGAGAAGAAAGCACCGGCUAACUUCGUGCCAGCCGCCGCGGUAAAAC